GAACCUGCGGAAGGAUCAUUAAAUAAUCAAUAAUCUUGGCUUGUCCAUUAUUAUCUAUUUACUGUGAACUGUAUUAUUAUUUGACAUUUGAGGGAUGUUCCAAUGUUAUAAGGAUAGACAUUGGAAAUGUUAACCGAGUCAUAAUCAGGUUUAGGCCUGGUAUCCUAUUAUUAUUUACCAAAUGAAUUCAGAAUUAAUAUUGUAACAUAGACCUAAAAAAUCUAUAAAACAACUUUUAACAACGGAUCUCUUGGUUCUCGCAUCGAUGAAGAACGUAGCAAAGUGCGAUAACUAGUGUGAAUUGCAUAUUCAGUGAAUCAUCGAGUCUUUGAACGCAACUUGCGCUCAUUGGUAUUCCAAUGAGCACGCCUGUUUCAGUAUCAAAACAAACCCUCUAUCCAACUUUUGUUGUAUAGGAUUAUUGGGGGCCUCUCGAUCUGUAUAGAUCUUGAAAUCCCUGAAAUUUACUAAGGCCUGAACUUGUUUAAAUGCCUGAACUUUUUUUUAAUAUAAAGGAAAGCUCUUGUAAUUGACUUUGAUGGGGCCUCCCAAAUAAAUCUCUUUUAAAUUUGAUCUGAAAUCAGGCGGGAUUACCCGCUGAACUUAAGCAUAUCAAUAAGCGGAGGA
rnacentral:rRNA from 1 species